GGGGAAUAUUGGGCAAUGGGCGCAAGCCUGACCCAGCCAUGCCGCGUGAGUGAUGAAGGCCUUCGGGUCGUAAAGCUCUGUGGGGAGGGACGAAAACACCUUGGCUAAUAUCCAAGGGGACUGACGGUACCUCCUUAGCAAGCACCGGCUAACUCCGUGCCAGCAGCCGCGGUAAUACGGAGGGUGCAAACGUUGCUCGGAAUCAUUGGGCGUAAAGCGCACGUAGGCGGCUCGUUAAGUCGGGUGUGAAAGCCCUCGGCUCAACCGAGGAAGUGCAUUCGAAACUGGCGAGCUUGAAUAUGGAAGAGGGUCGCGGAAUUCCCGGUGUAGAGGUGAAAUUCGUAGAUAUCGGGAGGAACACCAGUGGCGAAGGCGGCGACCUGGGCCAAUAUUGACGCUGAGGUGCGAAAGCGUGGGGAGCAAAC
rnacentral:rRNA from 1 species